rnacentral:rRNA from 1 species
GUCAAACAAUGUAAGGCUUACGGUGGAUACCUAGGCACCCAGAGACGAAGAAGGGCGUGGAAACCAACGAAAUGCUCCGAGGAGCUGGAAACAAGCUUUGAUCCGGAGAUCCCCGAAUAGGGCAACCUCUAGAACUGCCUAUUGAAUUCAUAGAUAGGAGAGAGACAACCCGGUGAAUUGAAACAUCUUAGUAGCCGGAGGAAAAGAAAGCAAAAGCGAUUCCCCGAGUAGCGGCGAGCGAAAUGGGAUCAGCCUAAACCGAUCCUACAUGUAGGGUCGGGGUCGUGGGAGGAAAUAGCCCCGUUCAACGAAAUGCCGAACUAAUGUGAGGCCUCGUUGACGAGAAGGGCGGUAUGCACACAUCAACGUUUUUACUUGGUUAAAAUGCAUCGUUCUGCGAUGCUAGACUAAGUGUAAAGUCGCUUGUGAAAUGUGACUUGCCUAGACGAAGCAGCUGAAUCCUGCACCAAAGAUGGUGAAAGUCCAGUAGUCGAAAGGCCAGUUGCUGUGCUAUUGGUAUGUAAGUUGUCUGAUUCAGUGGUCUUUAGAGACCUUUGAAGCUUAGGCACUGGUAUCUGUUUCUUAUCCCGAGUAGCAUGGGACACGUGAAACCCCGUGUGAAUCAGCGAGGACCACCUCGUAAGGCUAAAUACUCCUGGGUGACCGAUAGUGAAGAAGUACCGUGAGGGAAAGGUGAAAGAGAACCCCUGAAGGGGAGUGAAAUAGCGCAUGAAACCGUAAUCUGACAAGCAGUGGGAGGGGCAUUAGCCCUGACCGCGUGCCUGUGGAAGAAUGAGCCGGCGACUUAUAGGGGGUGGCAAGGUUAAGGAGUUUCUCCGAAGCCAAAGCGAAAGCAAGUCUUAACAGGGCGAUAAUAGGUCACUCCUUAUGGACCCGAACCCGGGUGAUCUAACCAUGGCCAGGAUGAAGCUUGGGUAACACCAAGUGGAAGUCCGAACUCAUCGAUGUUGAAAAAUCGUGGGAUGAGCUGUGGUUAGGGGUGAAAUGCCAAUCGAACUCGGAGCUAGCUGGUUCUCCCCGAAAUGCGUUGAGGCGCAGCGGUUGACGAGCCAUGAGCUGUCUAGGGGUAAAGCACUGUAUCGGUGCGGGCUGCGAGAGCGGUACCAAAUCGUAGCAAACUAAGAAUACUAGGCAUGUCUUUCCGUCAACCAGUGAGACAGUGGGGGAUAAGCUCCAUUGUCAAGAGGGAAACAGCCCAGAUCACCAGCUAAGGCCCCUGAAUGAUCGCUAAGUGGAAAAGGAGGUGAGAAUGCCGAAACAGCCAGAAGGUUUGCUUAGAAGCAGCCAUCCUUUAAAGAGUGCGUAAUAGCUCACUGGUGGAGCGUUCUUGCGCCGAAAAUUUACGGGACUAAGCGAUCUGCCGAAGCUGUGGGAUACCGGCACAAAAAGCUGGUAUCGGUAGGGGAGCGUUCCGCCUUAGGGUGAAGCAUUGGUGUAAACCGGUGUGGACGAAGCGGAAGUGAGAAUGUCGGCUUGAGUAACGCAAACAUUGGUGAGAAUCCAAUGCCCCGAAAACCUAAGGGUUCCUUCACUAGGUUCGUCCAUGGAGGGUUAGUCGGGUCCUAAGGCUAGGCCGAAAGGCGUCGUCGAUGGAAAACAGGUUAACAUUCCUGUACUUCUUCUUGGUUGGCACCGAGGGACGAAGGAGGCACGAGGUGACCAAAAUUGGAUUUUGGUGGAAAUGGCUGAGGCGAUGAGAGAUAGAAAAGAAACUAUUCUUGAGCUGAACCGUGAUACGGCCCCAUUAUUAGCUGCAACCUCCGGGGAGUGGCUUUGUGGGGUUCACUUUUCUCUGUCAAACUUCCUAGAAAAGCUCGAACUGCUGCAACACCAAGAAGGACCCGUACCCGAAACCGACACAGGUAGGUGGGUAGAGAAUACCUAGGGGCGCGAGACAACUCUCUCUAAGGAACUCGGCAAAAUGGCCCCGUAACUUCGGGAGAAGGGGUGCCCCCGCAAGGGGGCCGCAGUGACCAGGCCCAGGCGACUGUUUACCAAAAACACAGGUCUCCGCUACGUCGCAAGACAAGAUAUGGGGGCUGACGCCUGCCCGGUGCCGGAAGGUGAAGGAAGUUGGUUAUUCUUCGGAAGAAGCUGGCGACCGAAGCCCCGGUGAACGGCGGCCGUAACUAUAACGGUCCUAAGGUAGCGAAAUUCCUUGUCGGGUAAGUUCCGACCCGCACGAAAGGCGUAACGAUCUGGGCACUGUCUCAGAGAGAGACUCGGUGAAAUAGACAUGUCCGUGAAGAUGCGGACUUCCUACACCUGGACAGAAAGACCCUAUGAAGCUUUACUGUAACCUGGAAUUGGGUUUGGGCCCCUUUUGCGCAGCCUAGGUGGGAGGCUAUGAGAGCUCUCUUCCGGGAGAGCUGGAGCCAUCAGUGAGAGACCACUCUGGAGGGGCUAGAAUUCUAAUGGUGCUCCUUGAAACAGGACACUUGACAGUUUCAGGUGGGCAGUUUGACUGGGGCGGUCACCUCCUAAAAGGUAACGGAGGUGUGCAAAGGUUCCCUCAGGCUGGACGGAAAUCAGCCGUAGAGUGUAAAGGCAUAAGGGAGCUUGACUGCAAGACCUACAAGUCGAGCAGGGGCGAAAGCCGGCCUUAGUGAUCCGACGGUGCCGAGUGGAAGGGCCGUCGCUCAACGGAUAAAAGUUACUCUAGGGAUAACAGGCUGAUCUUCCCCAAGAGUUCACAUCGACGGGAAGGUUUGGCACCUCGAUGUCGGCUCAUCGCAACCUGGGGCGGUAGUACGUCCCAAGGGUUGGGCUGUUCGCCCAUGAAAGCGGUACGUGAGCUGGGUUCAGAACGUCGUGAGACAGUUCGGUCCAUAUCCGGUGUAGGCGCUAGAGCAUUGCGAGAAGCCUUCCAUAGUACGAGAGGACCUGGAAGGACACACCUCUGGUAUACCAGUUCUCCUGCCAAGGGGACACGCUGGGUAGCUAUGUGUGGAGCGGAUAACUGCUGAAAGCAUCUAAGUAGGAAGCCCAUCUCAAGAUGAGUGCUCUCUGCCUCGACUCUGUCGAGGCUAUGGGUCACAGCAAGACAAGCUGUUUGAUAGGUGUCAAGUGUAAGGCCAGCAAUGGCUGUAGCUGAGGCAUACUAACAGACCCAUCGAGUUUGAC